rnacentral:rRNA from 1 species
CAGUAGCCGCGGUAAUACGUAGGUCCCGAGCGUUGUCCGGAUUAUUGGGCGUAAAGGGAGCGCAGGCGGUUUAGUAAGUCUGAAGUUAAAGGCAUUGGCUCAACCAAUGUAUGCUUUGGAAACUGUUAGACUUGAGUGCAGAAGGGGAGAGUGGAAUUCCAUGUGUAGCGGUGAAAUGCGUAGAUAUAUGGAGGAACACCGGUGGCGAAAGCGGCUCUCUGGCCUGUCACUGACGCUGAGGCUCGAAAGCGUGGGUAGCGAACAGGAUUAGAUACCCCGGUAGUCCCUGUCUCUUAUACAC